rnacentral:rRNA from 1 species
CACUUUGAAAAGAGAGUGAAAAGAACCUGAAACCGUUAGGGGGAAAGCGGACUGCAUCGGAGUGCCAGGCGUGCGCUGUUCAGCGGGAGAGAUCCUGUGUAUUCAGUUGUAUUAGCCUUCCGGUCGUGUGUUCAUGGUGGCGGAUUUUGCGCUGCCGUGGGCAGAGGGAUCCCUCAAUUUUUUGAGGUUGAUGACGACUGGGUUACGAUGCGGCUCGACCCGUCUUGAAACACGGACCAAGGAGUGGAACACGGCUGCGAGUCAAAGGGUGUUGAAAAACCUGAGGGCGUAGUGAAAGCGAUUUGCUGUGUUGACUCACAGAUCUUAAAAAAAUUGCAGUUUGGGGCGGCAUACGAUCGUUGAUUGUAGGUCCGACCUUGAGCAGUCGUGAUCCGACCCGAAAGAUGGUGAACUAUGCCUGAGUAGGGCGAAGCCAGAGGAAACUCUGGUGGAGGCUCGUAGCGGUGCUGACGUGCAAAUCGCUCGUCUUACUUGGGUAUAGGGGCGAAAGACUAAUCGAACCAUCUAGUAGCUGGUUCUCUCCGAAGUUUCUCUCAGGAUAGCGGGCCGACAGGGUAGCAAAGUUGUUGUGUGC